rnacentral:pre_miRNA from 1 species
UAAAUACUCCCUUCGUCCCAAAAUUCUUGUCUUAGAUUUGUCUAAAUACGGAUGUAUCAAGUCAUGUUUUAGUAUUAGGUACAUCCGUAUCUAGAUAAAUCUAAGACAAGAAUUUUAGGACAAAGGGAGUAUAAC